ACGAGAGAGUGCUCAAACCACACGGCGUCGUUCUCCUCCACCGGCGGUCAGAUUGGUCUACUCCAACAUCACGAAGUCGCUCUCCACCCCAUCGGCUCGACUUAGCAAACAUCAAAGGUGACGGCGCCUGGCGGAGGCAGAGGCAAAGGCGAGGUCACGGGUUCGACGAUGCGUGGGUCUUCUUCUCCUCAGCACACGACGGAGGCGAGAUCUGGCUACACUUUCCUAAUUGCAAAUGCUGCAAGGGUGAGAGCCUUCUUUGGAUGCCCAGUUGAUGAACGCAAGGACUUUCUGCUGCAGAUGAUGUAUAGUCCUCAGGACUGUUGAGGUACUUUGUAAAAUUGCAGAUAAGUGAGUCUAGGCUUCAAAAGUGAUGUUAAUUUAACAUACCAUAGUUGCAGCAAGAAUAAAAAAUAAUAAUAAUUCAGUGUAACAAACAUUUAUAGUUUUUUCAGAUGACUGUGUUCGGUUGUUUUGAUUAUCAAGUUAAUAGAUAGAAUCAUUUUCUA